rnacentral:rRNA from 1 species
UACGUAGGGGGCAAGCGUUGUCCGGAUUUAUUGGGCGUAAAGCGCUCGCAGGUGGUUCGUUGCGUCGUGCGCGAAAGACCCCGGCUCAACUGGGGGAUGUCGUGCGAUACGGGCGGACUGGAGGCCAGUAGGGGGAUGCGGAAUUCCGGGUGUAGUGGUGGAAUGCGUAGAGAUCCGGAGGAACACCAGCGGCGAAGGCGGCAUCCUGGACUGGUCCUGACACUCAGGAGCGAAAGCGUGGGGAGCGAUCCGG